rnacentral:misc_RNA from 1 species
AAGUCGUAACAAGGUCUCCGUUGGUGAACCAGCGGAGGGAUCAUUAUCGAGUUUCUUAACUCCAUACCUUUGUGAACAUACCAUCGUUGCUUCGGCGGGAUCGUCCCUGGGCGAGCAGUGCACGGCCUGCCCCGGGUGCCCGCCGAAGACCCCCUAACUCUUGUUUUCCAGUGGGAUCUUCUGAGUACUACAAAUAAGCAAUCAAAACUUUCAGCAACGGAUCUCUUGGUUCUG